GAUGAACGCUGGCGGCGUGCCUAAUACAUGCAAGUCGAGCGAACGGACGAGAAGCUUGCUUCUCUGAUGUUAGCGGCGGACGGGUGAGUAACACGUGGAUAACCUACCUAUAAGACUGGGAUAACUUCGGGAAACCGGAGCUAAUACCGGAUAAUAUUUUGAACCGCAUGGUUCAAAAGUGAAAGACGGUCUUGCUGUCACUUAUAGAUGGAUCCGCGCUGCAUUAGCUAGUUGGUAAGGUAACGGCUUACCAAGGCAACGAUGCAUAGCCGACCUGAGAGGGUGAUCGGCCACACUGGAACUGAGACACGGUCCAGACUCCUACGGGAGGCAGCAGUAGGGAAUCUUCCGCAAUGGGCGAAAGCCUGACGGAGCAACGCCGCGUGAGUGAUGAAGGUCUUCGGAUCGUAAAACUCUGUUAUUAGGGAAGAACAUAUGUGUAAGUAACUGUGCACAUCUUGACGGUACCUAAUCAGAAAGCCACGGCUAACUACGUGCCAGCAGCCGCGGUAAUACGUAGGUGGCAAGCGUUAUCCGGAAUUAUUGGGCGUAAAGCGCGCGUAGGCGGUUUUUUAAGUCUGAUGUGAAAGCCCACGGCUCAACCGUGGAGGGUCAUUGGAAACUGGAAAACUUGAGUGCAGAAGAGGAAAGUGGAAUUCCAUGUGUAGCGGUGAAAUGCGCAGAGAUAUGGAGGAACACCAGUGGCGAAGGCGACUUUCUGGUCUGUAACUGACGCUGAUGUGCGAAAGCGUGGGGAUCAAACAGGAUUAGAUACCCUGGUAGUCCACGCCGUAAACGAUGAGUGCUAAGUGUUAGGGGGUUUCCGCCCCUUAGUGCUGCAGCUAACGCAUUAAGCACUCCGCCUGGGGAGUACGACCGCAAGGUUGAAACUCGAAGGAAUUGACGGGGACCCGCACAAGCGGUGGAGCAUGUGGUUUAAUUCGAAGCAACGCGAAGAACCUUACCAAAUCUUGACAUCCUUUGACAACUCUAGAGAUAGAGCCUUCCCCUUCGGGGGACAAAGUGACAGGUGGUGCAUGGUUGUCGUCAGCUCGUGUCGUGAGAUGUUGGGUUAAGUCCCGCAACGAGCGCAACCCUUAAGCUUAGUUGCCAUCAUUAAGUUGGGCACUCUAAGUUGACUGCCGGUGACAAACCGGAGGAAGGUGGGGAUGACGUCAAAUCAUCAUGCCCCUUAUGAUUUGGGCUACACACGUGCUACAAUGGACAAUACAAAGGGCAGCGAAACCGCGAGGUCAAGCAAAUCCCAUAAAGUUGUUCUCAGUUCGGAUUGUAGUCUGCAACUCGACUACAUGAAGCUGGAAUCGCUAGUAAUCGUAGAUCAGCAUGCUACGGUGAAUACGUUCCCGGGUCU
rnacentral:rRNA from 1 species